rnacentral:lncRNA from 1 species
AUGACAGGGUCAGCCCGAACCAUUGGUCUCAGUUGCAAUGAACAGGGGAAAAGGAAAACCAGAACAAUUGUGGUGAGCAAAAAGAACCAAAGAACCACAACAAGUGAAGAGACAACAAGAGGAACAGAGCUGGGAGAAAAUCACCGUUCUUCUGUAAGUAGAUGGCCACGUUGCCUGCUAAAACAUUGCCUAAAAGUCCAGAGACACUCAGGUGAAAUUGCCAUUGCCUCCUUUGCACACCCAGCUGCUAGCACGUCCUGUUGUUUUAAGCAUCUGUGGUGGGCUUGGCAUUUUUGGUUUGUGGUUUUGCUGUUACCUUUCUGUUAUGGCUAAUUAGUGCUACUAUUAAUAUCUGCCGAAGUCUUCCAGGUGUGGUGGUGGAAACCAACUGAUGAUGGGCAAGCGAUCUGGGCUGCUGGUGUUCCCAGCGUAAGGUCUAAUGGUGAGGAGAUGUGAGAUGCUUUUGGAUCUUUUCCUGUGGUGGUUAGAUAGCAAGGCUUUCAACAACUUCAGUUCCAGCUGGGUCAUUGGGAUUCUGAACUAUGUACUUCAGCAUAGCUCAUGGAUUUUAAACCUGUCACAUUGUACUGUUAUUAUAGAUAUGGUCCUGCACUUGCAAGCUGUUUUCUUGAUCUUUUGCCAGCAAGGCUUUUGUAGCAGUCCUUGGAAGAUAUACUGUAGCAGUUCUCUUUUAUAAUAUCUAUCAUUAACACCUCGUUGGCAUCUGUAAGAGUUUCUUCUUUGCUGGAGAUUGGAGCAGUUGAUUAAGCAGCCUUUUGCUGUCCACAGGCAAUUUCUCAGAUUUCCACCUUGUUUCAGAUCCACCUUUUCUAGCAAAGGUCCUGGAAAAAGGUUGUGGCAGGGCAACUACAGCCCUUACCUUCAUGAUAAUAAUAAACCGUUUGAAAAAUUUCA